ACCAGCUGUCUGAUGGGAGAGUAAGGCUGUCCCUGAUACCCACUAGCUGUCUGCCAGAUGUCUGAUGGGAGAGUAAGGCUGUCCCUGAUACCCACCAGCUGUCUGCCAGAUGUCUGAUGGGAGAGUAAGGCUGUCCCUGAUACCCACUAGCUGUCUGCCAGAUGUCUGAUGGGAGAGUAAGGCUGUCCCUGAUACCCACUAGCUGUCUGCCAGAUGUCUGAUGGGAGAGUAAGGCUGUCCCUGAUACCCACCAGCUGUCUGAUGGGAGAGUAAGGCUGUCCCUGAUACCCACCAGCUGUCUGCCAGAUGUCUGAUGGGAGAGUAAGGCUGUCCCUGAUACCCACCAGCUGUCUGCCAGAUGUCUGAUGGGAGAGUAAGGCUGUCCCUGAUACCCACUAGCUGUCUGCCAGAUGUCUGAUGGGAGAGUAAGGCUGUCCCUGAUACCCACCAGCUGUCUGCCAGAUGUCUGAUGGGAGAGUAAGGCUGUCCCUGAUACCCACCAGCUGUCUGAUGGGAGAGUAAGGCUGUCCCUGAUACCCACCAGCUGUCUGCCAGAUGUCUGAUGGGAGAGUAAGGCUGUCCCUGAUACCCACCAGCUGUCUGCCAGAUGUCUGAUGGGAGAGUAAGGCUGUCCCUGAUACCCACUAGCUGUCUGCCAGAUGUCUGAUGGGAGAGUAAGGCUGUCCCCGAUACCCACCAGCUGUCUGCCAGAUGUCUGAUGGGGAGAGUAAGGCUGCAGAAUACCAAGAACCUUUAAAUGAAAACCUGGUUGGAUGCUUCCGGAUUCUCUGCUUAUUCCCGGAAAACUUCCAAACCAGGAUUUCUGUAAAACUCGGUAAUUUAUUGAAGGUUUCCGGAAUUCUGCAGCCCUCGUAGAGAAGAGUAUCACUGAGUGAACCUGCAGUUUAAAUCCUCUCUCCUUCAUCCUCAUCAUUUUUUUACCAACGACCUGUGAAGGAGCUGAAGUUUAGAGGUGUUUGUCCUUCAGCCCUUCAAUGCAAUGUUUGUUUCUUUGGCAUUUAAAUGUUUCUUAAUAAAUGAAAACAAGCGUAGAGCCUCGUCACUUUUAAUUUGCCUUACGGAGAAGGACAACUGCUUGGGGGUCAGUUUUUAACAUUUCUGUUCUCGUGGAGAUCAUAGACAGGUGUUUGUUUCCGUCAUUGGUCUAGAGGUCCGGGUGUAUCGGUUUGGAUAAUAGAGAUACCAAACUCAGCAAUAACAACAGUACCCUGCUUCACUGGACUCUGGCUAUGCAGACAACACUCCUUAGCUUGGUCCCAGAUGUGUUUGGCAAGACAAGGAGUUCACAUGAUGACACAAACAGAUCUGGGAUCAGGCUCCAUUGUCCUCUGUCUCAGUAUGAAAGUCCCUCAGCAGUGUGAACUGUUUCUCUUCGUAGUGUCUCCAGUUCAGGACAAGGUGCUCUGGGAGAGGACUGGAAUCAUCCUCUAUUCCCCAUGUUGAGCACUACUUUACACCAGGACCCAUAGGGCCUUGGUCUCUCCAGUGUCUGAGAGGUUCGGCACCACGUGGACACUAGAUACAUCUCUAGUUUAAUUUGUACUGUCAUCACUAAGUUGUUGAUUUGUGGAACAAACCACACAAAUAACAUUUUCAGGUAACUGUUUUUAUUUUGCUUGAUUCUGUAAUAUGCAGAAUGUGGAUUCAUUGUGUCUCCAGUGUAGCAGUGUGAAUCCGGGUGUGUAAUACAGGGCAUUCAGAAAGUAUUCAGACCCCUGGACUUUUUCCACAUUUUGUUACGUUACAGCCUUAUUCUAAAAUGGAUUCAAUAUUUUUUCCUCUCAAUCUACAGACGACACUCCAUUAUGACAAAGCAAAAUGGAAAUGUUUUAUUUUAGAAAAUGUAUAAAAAAUAACUAAAAAUAUUCAGACCCUUUACUCAGUACUCUGUUGAAGCCCCUUUGGCUGUGAUUACAGCCUGGAGUCUUCUUGGGUCUGACGCUACAAGCUUGGCACACCUGUAUUUGGGGAGGUUCUUCCAUUCUUCUCUACAGAUCCUCUCAAGCUCUGUCAGGUUGGAUGGGGAGCGUCACUGCACAGCUAUUUUCAGGUCUCUCCAGAGAUGUUCGAUCGGGUUCAAGUCCGGGUUCUGGCUGGGCCACUCGAGGACAUUCAGAGACUUGUCCCGAAGCCACUCCUGCAUUUUCUUGGCUGUGUGCUUAGGGUCGUUGUCCUGCUGGAAGGUGAACCUUCGCCUCAGUCUGAGGUCCUGAGAGCUCUGGAGCAGGUUUUCAUCAAGGAUCUCUCAGUACUUUGCUCCUUUCAUCUUUCCCUCGAUCCUGACUAGUCUCCCAGUCCCUGCUGAAAAACAUCCCCACAGCAUGAUGCUGCCACCAUGCUUCACCGUAGGGAUGGUGCCAGGUUACCUUCAGACGUGAUGCUUGGCAUUCAGGCCAGAGAAUCUUGCUUCUCAUGGUCUGAGAGUCCUCCAAAUGGGCUGUCAUGUGCCUUUUACUGAGGAGUGGCUUCCGUCUGGCCACUCUACCAUUAAUGCCUGAUUGGCGGAGUGCUGCCCAUAUGGUUGUCCUUCUGGAAGGUUCUCCCAUCUCCACAGAGGAACUCUGGAGCUCUGUCGAGUGACCACCGGGUUCUUGGUCACCUCCCUGACCAAGGCCCUUUCCGACUGCUCAGUUUGGCCCGGUGACCAGCUCUAGGAUGAGUCUUGGUGGUUCCAAACUUCUUCCAUUUAAGAAUGAUGGAGGCCACUGUGUUCUUAGGGACCUUCAAUGCUGCAGACAUUUUUUGGUACCUUUCCCCAGAUCUGUGCCUCGACACAAUCCUACGGACAAUUCCUUCGACCUCAUGGCUUGGUUUUUGCUCUGACAUGCACUGUCAACUGUGAGACCUUAUAUAGACAGGUGUGUGCCUUUCCAAAUCAUGUCCAAUCAAUUGAAUUUACCACAGGUGGACUCAAGUUAUAGAAACAUCUCAAGGAUGAUCAAUGGAAACGGUAUGCACCUGAACUUAAUUUAGCAAACGGUCUGAAUACUUAAGUAAAUAAGGUAUUUUAUUUUUUUUAUACAUUUGCAAAAAUGUCUAAACCUGUUUUCACUUUGUCAUCCCGGGGCAUUGUGAUGUCAUGAAUUGAAUCCAUUUUAGAAUCUUGCUGUAACGUGGAAAAAGGGUCUGAAUACUUCCUGAACAGACAUUUUAUCUUCACUAACCAGAAGUAAUCUACUAGUGCCAGACGCGCCUGACUGAUACCAUUAUGUACCACUAUAUAUAAGGACAGCUUUGAUGCGGCUUUAGUCAGGAGAUACGGUGUUAUUCAGAGGGAACUAAAUCCACCCUGUUUUCUUCAUGUAAUAUUAUCGGUUUACAACAGUAAUCAGGGUGCAUCAGAAGGAUUUGAUUUUGUAUUUGUGAUGUAAAUCUCCAUCAGUCCAAUCUCAUGAUGAUGAACAUGUUCACUUUGUUUUGGUGAUGCAUGAAUGAUGGUACGAGCUGUAUGUAUAUGAUUGUUAAGAUAUUAAAAAUGACAGAUGUGUGGA